rnacentral:rRNA from 1 species
CUAAGCCAUGCGAGUCAUUGUAGUAAUACAAGGCAGACGGCUCAUUCACGCGUAGUCAACCUAACCUAUGGACGGGAAUAACCUCGGGAAACUGAGUAUAAUGCCCGAUAGAACAUUAUGCCUGGAAUGGUUUAUGUUCCAAAUGAUUUAUCGCCGUAGGAUGGGACUGCGGCCUAUCAGUUUGUUGGUGAGGUAAUGGCCCACCAAGACUAUUACAGGUACGGGCUCUGAGAGGAGUGGCCCGGAGAUGGGUACUGAGACACGGACCCAGGCCCUAUGGGGCGCAGCAGGCGAGAAAACUUUGCAAUGUGCGAAAGCACGACAAGGUUAAUCCGAGUGGUUUCUGCUAAAGGAACCUUUUGUCGAUCCUAGAAACACCGAUGAAUAAGGGGUGGGCAAGUUCUGGUGUCAGCCGCCGCGGUAAAACCAGCACCUCAAGUGGUCAGGAUGAUUAUUGGGCCUAAAGCAUCCGUAGCCGGCUCUGUAAGUUUUCGGUUAAAUCUGUACGCUUAACGUACAGGCUGCCGGGAAUACUGCAGAGCUAGGGAGUGGGAGAGGUAGACGGUACUCGGUAGGAAGGGGUAAAAUCCUUUGAUCUAUUGAUGACCACCUGUGG